rnacentral:miRNA from 1 species
GCAGACACAUUCUAGCCAAUCAGCAGCAGACCCUCCCUCCCAGACCCUCCCACCUCCUGGACAGCAUCCAUUUUACAUUCAUUGUGAAGCUGCAUUCUUAGUGAGCUGUCCAGGAGGUGGGAGGGUCUGGGAGGGAGGGUCUGCUGCUGAUUGGCUGGAAUGUGUCUG